rnacentral:rRNA from 1 species
CGGACGGGUGAGUAAUGUCUGGGAAACUGCCUGAUGGAGGGGGAUAACUACUGGAAACGGUAGCUAAUACCGCAUAACGUCGCAAGACCAAAGAGGGGGACCUUCGGGCCUCUUGCCAUCGGAUGUGCCCAGAUGGGAUUAGCUAGUAGGUGGGGUAAUGGCUCACCUAGGCGACGAUCCCUAGCUGGUCUGAGAGGAUGACCAGCCACACUGGAACUGAGACACGGUCCAGACUCCUACGGGAGGCAGCAUG